rnacentral:lncRNA from 1 species
AUGGCCUCUUCUAGUGUGUCUGAAGAUAAGCUAAGCAUAAUCAUAUACACAAAAUAAACAAAUCUUAAAAAGAGACUGUGAGAUAUAAAGGUGUAUAUGCUACUAUUUUAACUUUGCUACUAUUCACAACGACCUGAGUUUGAUUCUGUAAGAGAACUACAUUACCGCCACCCUCCAACAUACAAAUCAUUUAAAAGGCUAGGACUGGUGGGACACAUCUUUAAUCCCAGCACCCCAGAGGCAGAGACAGGUGGAUCUCUGUGAGUUUAAGGCCAGCAAAAGUCUACAUAGACCCCUUCCUGCCCAAAAGGGCCUAAAAAGUAGUUUCUUUGAUUGAGCAUGUGGUUAAUACACACACACUCACACUUUCCUGAGUUUGGAUAGAUGUCCCUCAGUUUAGGAACAACUUACAUCCCAAUAAACCAAUCCACCAGAAAACGCCGAGUUGAGAAACAGCACAGCGUAGCAACACAGGCACCAAGGUGAGUGCAGGGACAUUCAGUCUGAUCCUUGUGACUGACUGGGAGCCUGUUUUAUGUUUCUCCACCUCCCAAGAUCUCCCAAGCAGAUCUUUGAGUUCAAGGCCAGCCAGGGCUACACAGAGAAGCCCCGUCUUGAAAAACCAAACCACCAACAUCAAAAAAGAUAAGCUUGUAAGUCCCUCACAAAUCAGAAGCAGCAAAAUAGAAAGGAUGCUUUCAUUCAACAUGAUGGUGAAGACAAGACCCUUCUGACUUACACAUGGCACAAGAAGAAUAUAUUGAUGUAUUUACAGACAGGGUCUAUGUGGUUCUGGCUAUCUGGGCACGAACCCUGUAGAUCAGCACAGCCUCCUACUCACAGAGAUCCACCUUGCUCUGCCUCCAAGUGCUGGGCUUAUCAUACCAUCCGUGGACCACCUGUUUUAUAUCUUACUUUGAUCUUUACUAGUUGGGUGCUUUGUAACCAUUUAAAGGAGUAAAUUUAAUGAUUUAUUUUUAUUUGGUGUUUUGCCUUCAUGUGUGUGAAUGUAAGGGUACUGGAUCCUCAGGAACUGGAGUUGUAGGCCAUUGUGAGCUGCCAUGUAGGUGCUAGGACUUGAACCAAGGGUUCUCUGGAAGAGUAGCCUUAACUACUUAACGACUACACAAUCUCUUGAGCACCCAAUAACCUACUUCUUAGGCUAUUGAGAGCACUAAUGUAACUUGCAAAGUACUAAGUUACAUAAUAGGUACUUGACAAAGAUAGCUGUUCUAAUUUCCAGAAGGGGUGUGAGACAUCUACCAAAUUUGGGGGCUUAGGGGCAAAAUCCAUCAAUCUUGAUUGUCGGACAAGAUGGAAAUUAAUCAAAACUAAAAACUAUGCUGGGUGUGGUGGUGCACACCUUUAAUCCCAGCAUGCCCAGGCUCUGCCCAAGAUGACAUCAGAGUCUCCUACCUGCCUACUGAAGACAGUCACUUCUUGGCUGCUUUCAGAUCAAGAAUAUACAACUCUUGGCUCCUCCAGGACCAAGUCUGCCUGCAUGCUGCUAUGCUUUCCACCAUGAUGAUAACAGACCAAACUUCCGAAACUGUAAGCCAGCCCCAGUGUUUGCCUUUCUAAGAGUUCCUUGGGUCACAGUGUCUCAUCAGAGGAAAUAAAACCCUAACACUGUGGAAGAGGAAGCUGAUUUCAGAGAAAAGGUCAUGGCUUAAAGAACUUAACAAAAAUCAAACAGUU